GGCACAGACCACCCUUUGUUGGUCCAGUGUGAGAAAUAACCAGGGUGUCUCUGGUAGGCAAGUUCUCUGUCACUGAGCUACGCCCUCAACUUCUGCUACGGAAAAUUAUGACAAGUUAUCAAAGACAAACCAAGCUAAUUAAGCAUGCUUCAAUUACGGAAAUGUGUUUAGAACGGGCUACCCAGCGUUUUACUGUUCAGAGGACAUUUGGGGGCCUCUGGAACAAUUCGUGCCUAAAGGAUAAAGAUGAAGACAUCCGGAAGAAGGGGCCUCCGGGAUGCAAAUCUGGAGCAACCAGCGUUUACAUGGAGAGCAGGAACUAGAGCAGGUCCUCCAGGAUAGGCCAAGGCCAGGGGCUGGAUAUUUAUCUAGGGGAGCCUCUCCUGGUCCAGCCAGACCAGAGCUGAGGCCAGGGUACUGGAGACUUCUCUUCCCAAGUGGGUGCUUCCUGGCUCUUCCCUACCGGUAAAAGGAGCAGGAGCAAGGCGAAGUUGGAGAAGAAGGCGGCGCCAUGCACAAUGCAUAUCCCGCACACAGAACGGGGCGCUCAACUGCUGAAGCUCUAAGAGGUGGGCUUGGGGCUACGCUGGUCAGGCGCGGGGCUGGCGGACAGGAACCAAUACAUGCGAUGGACUCGUCCCUCGUCUUCCCCGGGUGGGCAUGGAAGGACUCCACGCCUUCAGGAGAGGGAACGAGGCAGGCUCGGGUACAGGAGCAGAAGGGUGGGGCGUCGGUGGUGCCGUAGGCACGCAAGGGCAGGCCCCGGAGCCCCGGGUCCGCGAGGCCAGGGAGGCCCUUGGCGGCCGGCGCGGGCUGAGGACACUUCCUGCCUGGCCGGGGAGGCGCUGUCCGCAGAGGAAGCGCCGAGGGGCUGCGGGGCGGGACAGGAAGUGGGGCGCCGGCUCCACCCGCAGAGGCCUGAGGCUGCGGCCCCAGGAUGGGUCCCGCCCGGCACCGGGAGGCCAAAGACCUCGCCGGUCAGCCCACGUCAGCCAGGGAGCGGCGAGCUCUUCCGUCUCCGCCGACGCGGGAGGCCCCGCCCACCGUAGGCCCCGCCCCUUUCAGCGCAUUUUACUUUUGCUUCGUAACUAAGUUCCAAGUUUUCUGCGAGGGACUUCCGAAGCUCAGAUGCAGAACCAUAAUCCCGCGUCGCAACCUGACGUGCACAAGACGAACCCAAGGUUGUGCUCGAGG